rnacentral:tRNA from 1 species
GAGGGUGUAGCUCAGUGGUAGAGCGCGUGCCUAGCAUGCACAAGGUCCUGGGUUCAAUCCCCAGUACCUCCA